UACAGAGGUGGCAAGCGUUGUUCGGAAUUACUGGGCGUAAAGGGCGCGUAGGCGGCCUUGUAAGUCCCGUGUGAAAUCCCUCGGCUCAACUGAGGAACUGCACGGGAAACUGCUUGGCUUGAGUUCGGGAGAGGGAAGCGGAAUUCCGGGUGUAGCGGUGAAAUGCGUAGAUAUCGGGAGGAACACCAGUGGCGAAGGCGACUACCUGGCCUGUUCUUGACGCUGAGGCGCAAAAGCUAGGGGAGCAAACGGG
rnacentral:rRNA from 1 species